rnacentral:rRNA from 1 species
UACGUAGGGUGCAAGCGUUGUCCGGAAUUAUUGGGCGUAAAGGGCUCGUAGGCGGUCCAUCGCGUCGGGAGUGAAAAGCUGGGGCUUAACCCCAGUCCUGCUUCCGAUACGGGCAGACUAGAGGUAUGCAGGGGAGAACGGAAUUCCUGGUGUAGCGGUGAAAUGCGCAGAUAUCAGGAGGAACACCGGUGGCGAAGGCGGUUCUCUGGGCAUUACCUGACGCUGAGGAGCGAAAGUGUGGGGAGCGAACAGG